rnacentral:rRNA from 1 species
AGUGAACGCUGGCGGUAGGCCUAACACAUGCAAGUCGAACGGCAGCACAGUAAGAGCUUGCUCUUACGGGUGGCGAGUGGCGGACGGGUGAGGAAUACAUCGGAAUCUACUUUUUCGUGGGGGAUAACGUAGGGAAACUUACGCUAAUACCGCAUACGACCUACGGGUGAAAGCAGUGGAUCUUCGGACCUUGCGCGAUUGAAUGAGCCGAUGUCGGAUUAGCUAGUUGUCGGGGUAAAGGCCCACCAAGGCGACGAUCCGUAGCUGGUCUGAGAGGAUGAUCAGCCACACUGGGACUGAGACACGGUCCAGACUCCUACGGGAGGCAGCAGUGGGGAAUAUUGGACAAUGGGCGCAAGCCUGAUCCAGCCAUACCGCGUGGGUGAAGAAGGCCUUCGGGUUGUAAAGCCCUUUUGUUGGGAAAGAAAAGCAGCAGGUUAAUACCCCGCUGUUCUGACGGUACCCAAAGAAUAAGCACCGGCUAACUUCGUG